AACCUGGUUGAUCCUGCCAGUAGUCAUAUGCUUGUCUCAAAGACUAAGCCAUGCAUGUCUAAGUAUAAGUAUUAUACAGCGAAACUGCGAAUGGCUCAUUAAAACAGUUAUAAUUUAUUUGAUAAUCGAAUUUACAUAGAUAACCGUGGUAAUUCUAGAGCUAAUACGUGCUGGUAGGCCCGACUUUUUGGAAGGGCGGUAUUUAUUAGAUAACAAACCAAUAUUCCUCUGGUCUAUUGUGGUGAAUCAUAAUAACUGAUCGAAUCGCAAGGUUUUUAACCGCGAUAAGUCAUUCAAGUCUCUGCCCCAUCAGCUUUCGAUGGUAGUGUAUUGGACUACCAUGGCUUUUACGGGUAACGGAGGAUUAGGGUUCGAUUCCGGAGCACGGAGCCUGAGAAACGGCUACCACAUCUAAGGAAGGCAGCAGGCGCGUAAAUUACCCAAUCCUGACUCAGGGAGGUAGUGACAAGAAAUAACGGACCG
rnacentral:rRNA from 1 species